UCCGUAGGUGAACCUGCGGAAGGAUCAUUCAUAAUAAGUGUUCUACUGCACUUUUUAAACAAGUACUCACCUUGUGUGCAAUGUUUGCUGGCGUGUCGUUCAUUCGUCGCGUCGGCAUAAUACCAACCUUUUUUAUUUUAAUCUUUUGUCUUAAGCUAUUUUGAAUAACAUAAUUCUUAAUACAACUUUCAACAACGGAUCUCUUGGCUCUCGCAUCGAUGAAGAACGCAGCGAAUUGCGAUAUGUAAUGUGAAUUGCAGAAUUCAGUGAAUCAUCGAAUCUUUGAACGCACAUUGCACCCUCUGGUAUUCCGGAGGGUAUGCCUGUUUGAGUGUCAUUAAUAUCUCAACUCAAGUUAGCUUUUGUUAAUUUGAGCUUGGAUGAUGAAGGUUGCCGGCGUAAUUGUCAGCUCCUUUUAAAUGCAUUAGCAAAACUAUGCUGGACCGGCUUCGGUUUGAUAAUUGCUUAUCUAUGCUGUCGCUGAGAAACAACAGUUAUGCUUCAAAUUGUCUUAGGACUGUCUCCUUGUGAGGCAUACACUUUAACCUUGACCUCAAAUCAGGUAGGACUACCCGCUGAACUUAAGCAUAUCAAUAAGCGGAGGA
rnacentral:rRNA from 1 species